GAUCCUGGCUCAGGAUGAACGUUGGCGGUGUGCCUAAUACAUGCAAGUCGAACGGAGAUUGUAGCAAUACGGUCUUAGUGGCGAACGGGUGAGUAACGCGUUGGUGAUCUGCCUCGAAGUGUGGAAUAACGAUUCGAAAGAAUCGCUAAUACCGCAUAGUCUCUCUUUUUCCAGAAAUUUGAGAGUAAAGGAUUUAUUCGCUUUGAGAGGAGCCUGCGUCCAAUUAGUUAGUUGGUGAAGUAAUGGCUCACCAAGACGAUGAUUGGUAGGGGAUCUGAGAGGAUAAUCCCCCACACUGGCACUGAGAUACGGACCAGACUCCUACGGGAGGCAGCAGUGAGGAAUAUUGGUCAAUGGGCGGGAGCCUGAACCAGCCAAGUCGCGUGAAGGAAGAAGGAUCUAUGGUUCGUAAACUUCUUUUGCAGGGGAAUAAAGUGCAGGACGUGUCCUGUUUUGUAUGUACCCUGAGAAUAAGGAUCGGCUAACUCCGUG
rnacentral:rRNA from 1 species